CCUUGGGACCGGGAUAACCCCGGGAAACUGGGGAUAAUACCGGAUAACGCAUAUCUGCUGGAAUGCUUUAUGCGUAAAAUGGAUUUGUCUGCCCAAGGAUGGGUCUGCGGCCUAUCAGGUAGUAGUGGGUGUAAUGUACCUACUAGCCUACGACGGGUACGGGUUGUGAGAGCAAGAGCCCGGAGAUGGAUUCUGAGACAUGAAUCCAGGCCCUACGGGGCGCAGCAGGCGCGAAAACUUUACAAUGCGGGAAACCGUGAUAAGGGGACACCGAGUGCCAGCAUCAUAUGUUGGCUGUCCAGAUGUGUAAAAUACAUCUGUUAGCAAGGGCCGGGCAAGACCGGUGCCAGCCGCCGCGGUAACACCGGCGGCCCGAGUGGUGAUCGUGAUUAUUGGGUCUAAAGGGUCCGUAGCCGGUUUGGUCAGUCCUCCGGGAAAUCUGACGGCUCAACCGUUAGGCUUUCGGUGGAUACUGCCAGACUUGGAACCGGGAGAGGUAAGAGGUACUACAGGGGUAGGAGUGAAAUCUUGUAAUCCCUGUGAGACCACCUGUGGCGAAGGCGUCUUACCAGAACGGGUUCGACGGUGAGGGACGAAAGCUGGGGGCACGAACCGGAUUAGAUACCCGGGUAGUCCCAGCCGUAAACGAUGCUCGCUAGGUGUCAGGCAUGGCGCGACCGUGUCUGGUGCCGCAGGGAAGCCGUGAAGCGAGCCACCUGGGAAGUACGGCCGCAAGGCUGAAACUUAAAGGAAUUGGCGGGGGAGCAAAUCCCGCGGCCA
rnacentral:rRNA from 1 species